rnacentral:rRNA from 1 species
UACCUACGGGACGCAGCAGUGGGGAAUAUUGCACAAUGGGGGAAACCCUGAUGCAGCAACGCCGCGUGAGAGAAGAAGUAUUUCGGUAUGUAAAGCUCUAUCAGCAGGGAAGAAGAAAGACGGUAACUGACUAAGAAGCCCCGGCUAACUACGUGACAGCAGCCGCGGUAAUACGUAGGGGGCAAGCGUUAUCCGGAUUUACUGGGUGUAAAGGGAGCGUAGACGGCUGUGCAAGUCUGAUGUGAAAGCCUU